GGCAAGAUGGCCGAGCGGUCUAAGGCGCUAGUUUUAGGCACCAAUCAUGUUGAUUGUUGUUAAUUUUCACUAGUCCGAAAGGGCGUGGGUUCGAAUCCCACUCUUGUCA
rfam:Talaromyces marneffei PM1 scf025, whole genome shotgun sequence.